rnacentral:lncRNA from 1 species
CAAAGAGAGGAGAACCCCAAUAAUGGGGGGCUGCAAAGUUGGGGUCCCCAAAAAUGGGGGUCCAUAAUUAAUGGGGGUCCCCAAGAAUGGGGUCCCCAAAUAUGGGGGGGGUCCGGUAAAGGGGUCCCCAAAUUUGGGGGGCUGAAGUGGGGGGAAUCCCAAAGAAAGGAGAACCCAAAGAUUGGGGGUCCCCAAAAAUGGGGGUCCACAAUUAAUGGGGUCCCCAAAUAGGGGGUCCCCAAAUAUGGGGGAGGUCCGCUAAUGGGGUCCCCAAAUUUGGGGGUCCUUAAAGGGACAGUGCAGCACUUUGGGGCCUUCAAAGCUCAGAGUUCUUAAAGUGACAGAGCACCAUUUUGGGGUCCCUCAAAGUUG